GCACUUACCUGGACGGGGUCAAUGAGUGAUCAUGUAGGCUCAUAACAUAGGCUGUCGACCUCCAUUGCAUAUUGCGAAGGGGCAGCUGCCUAAGAUCUCUCCAAGAGGGAGAAUUUACGCCAUAAUUUUUCGUAGUGGGGGCCUACGUUCGCACGACCCCUUU